UUACGGCCAUAUCACGUUGAAGCCCCGGUUCCCGUUAAGAUCACCGAAGUUAAGCAACAUCGAGCCCGAUCAAUUCCUAGAUGGGGGACUGCUUGGGAAUACCAGGUGUUGUGA